UGCGGGUCGGUGGGCGUUGGCCUUUGGCCUGAUGCGCCUCGGGGGCGGCGACCGCCGCUGCCGGUGCGGUGCCGGCGGCCGUGUC
rnacentral:tRNA from 1 species